GAUGCACGCUGGCGGCGUGCCUAAUACAUGCAAGUCGAGCGAACAGACGAGGAGCUUGCUCCUCUGACGUUAGCGGCGGACGGGUGAGUAACACGUGGAUAACCUACCUAUAAGACUGGGAUAACUUCGGGAAACCGGAGCUAAUACCGGAUAAUAUAUUGAACCGCAUGGUUCAAUAGUGAAAGACGGUUUUGCUGUCACUUAUAGAUGGAUCCGCGCCGCAUUAGCUAGUUGGUAAGGUAACGGCUUACCAAGGCGACGAUGCGUAGCCGACCUGAGAGGGUGAUCGGCCACACUGGAACUGAGACACGGUCCAGACUCCUACGGGAGGCAGCAGUAGGGAAUCUUCCGCAAUGGGCGAAAGCCUGACGGAGCAACGCCGCGUGAGUGAUGAAGGUCUUCGGAUCGUAAAACUCUGUUAUUAGGGAAGAACAAAUGUGUAAGUAACUAUGCACGUCUUGACGGUACCUAAUCAGAAAGCCACGGCUAACUACGUG
rnacentral:rRNA from 1 species